UACGGAGGAUGCAAGCGUUAUCCGGAAUGAUUGGGCGUAAAGCGUCCGCAGGUGGCUAUGUAAGUCUGCUGUUAAAGAGCAAGGCUCAACCUUGUAAAGGCAGUGGAAACUACAUGGCUAGAGUGCGUUCGGGGCAGAGGGAAUUCCUGGUGUAGCGGUGAAAUGCGUAGAUAUCAAGAGGAACACCUGCGGCGAAGGCGGGUUGCUGGGCCGACACUGACGCUGAUGCGCGAAAGCUAGGGGAGCGAACGGG
rnacentral:rRNA from 1 species